rnacentral:lncRNA from 1 species
UCUUCUUUUCUUGCCUUGGGGUGGAACCCAGGGUCUUGCACAGGCCAGCGCUGAGAGACAUCUUCAGCCCGGGUUCUGGCUCUCCAGCUUUGCAUGCACUCGGGAUCCGUCCUCACGCGCAUCCCUGGAUGCGGGCCUUCACCCAACUUUAGGACAAGGUGUAGGUAGGACCUCUGCACCCCUCUCCCAAGCGAAUUUUGAGCUGACUCCAGGAGUGAGGAAGGCGGGCUGGAGGGAGAAGGAGCCCCUGGCCUAGUGGCCCUGCAGUGCGGCCUCGGCUGAGCCCUGUCCUCCUACAGUCUUGAUGGCCAGUUUUGGCUCUGCACGUGCGCUGGGACCUUUGGAGGGUCCUGAAGGAGGAGACUAUGGGGUGGGUUCAGGCAAGAGUGUUAGCUGAGACUCUGGAGGCAAGGUAGGCUGCUGCCCUGGAGCGGUGCACAGGGAUUGGGAAGGGAGGCUGAGCCUCAUCUCUGUUUCUCAAUUCCUCUGCUCCCUCGUGACCUCAGGAGCCCGGGCGCCCCCUCCCUCCCACGGACAGCUGGAGGCUGAGUCACUAGCUGCCUCUCAGGAGACAAAGGAAACAGUGGGCCCUCCCUUCAGACCCCCUCCUGGUACCGGCAUUUGUACUAGCGGGGAGCCCAGCAUGGAGGAAGUGGAAGAAGCAGGCACAGAGGGGAUCGAAACGGGGUGGUGGAGACACCGACCCUCACGGGACUAUUCCGGACUGCUUUGAUCUCCGCGCGUCAGUUCCCGCACGUGUAAAAACCGGGAAGCGCCCGUCGCAGGCUCCCAAUGUCCGAGGUAAAAGUCCCGGGAGUUUUACGCUGAGCCGCCUGGAGCUCUAGUUCGGAGGAAUAUUUUGGGGAGGGCUUGGAGAGGGGCCCUGGUG